ensembl:processed_transcript Gm10544 predicted gene 10544
AGCCAGCUCCCCUGAACUGUUCCUGAUCAGGGGUGGGCUGCUGCUGCCGCUGAUCCCCGCGGCUGAGGGAAGAGUCUGGUUACCAAAGGCUCGUCUGGGGUUUGCAUGUGAGUAUCCAGAGGCUCUGUGCUCAGUGCCACCCUGCCUUUCCCUCUCCCUAGCUGCUUCUGCCACCCGCGCCACAGACAGAGUCACUGCAUUCUUUAUGGCGGCCCUGAUUUCCUUUGUGUCUUCUAGUUUAGUGCAAUGGGCUCUUGCUCCAGUCCUGUUUUCAGAAUUUAGCUUGAGUUUAGAAUUGUAUACAUGCUAGUGCUUGACUAAAGGGAAAAACAAAAACAACAACAACAAAUCUACACUCAAACUGCUGGAAAAAAACAAAAACAAACAAACAAACAACAACAACAAAACCGGGCUAUAGAUGGAAAACAUCCCCUCUUCCUUACUUCCAUCUUUACUUGAGUUUGUGGACUGCUGGAGAAGCACCGCCCCUCAGCUGCUGAUCAAUUGCUCAAACCUGCAUCACGUUCGCAAAACUCAAAACUCUUCAGACAGAAGAGUCUGAAACCUGAGGCCUGUCCUGGAUCAGAAAGACAAAAAAAAGACUACAACCACCUGGGGACCAACCAACCACAUCCUUCAUUUUCCUGCAGCUUCUUGGUUCUUAAAGUGGACACAGAAAAAAAAAAAAAAAACCAUAAAAACAAAUGCCAGCAUCUAUUUCCUGAGCUCUACAAAGCUUGAAACUUUGUUACCAAGAUACCUAGCUACCUGGUGUAAAUUACGGUGUUCCAGAUAUCUUUUAUUAUCUUCGGUCCUCGGUUUUCAUUUGUAAAGUGGGUAAUAAUAGCAGUUGUUACGAAAUUAAAUGUAAUUCUUCUUAAAGUGCGCCGGCCUGGCACAAAAUGAAAACCCCAUUAACUCUUACUUGUUAGUAAGAAAGAGAAACGGAAGAUUCACUCGUUUAUUAAAGGAUUAUUGAAUUCUUCCCAUGAGCUAGGCAGUUUAUUUGUGCAUUUUGCCAAUGUGUAUUUAUUUGACUAAUUUUAAGUUAUUAUAAUUAAUUAAAUUUAUUUAAAUAUGGAUUUAAAAUAAUGUCUUAUUUUUUCAGAAAAACAUCUGAAGGCUUAAAUUACAGCAAGUUGAUUUGCUCUGAAUCACACAGGGAUUUGGUAAUGAAGUUGAAAAGUCAUUCUCUCGAUGGCCCUUGGCUCAGUAGGACAAUGACUUCUGCUUUAAACAGACACACCUUGGAAGCCUGGCAGUGUGCUGUGUGUGUGCCUGCAUGCGUACGUGUGUGCGUGCAUGUGCGUGUGUGAGUGUGUAGGGGUGGAGCUGCUCUAGAUUCACAGGCCGAGCUUUUUGAUCUCUGACUGGAAAUCAGACUGGGCAAGUGACAGGCUGAUUGCCAGGGGUCACCAGAAAUGACACUCCUGGUGUUUCACUCUCUUUGGGUGGGAUGAGAUGAUCUGGAAAAAGAUUCUAUGACUGUUUGGUGCCUCGGGCCACAGCUGGGCUAAUUUUCAGUAAUCUUGGAGCGGAAGAGAGAAAUACAGUUGGCAUAUUUUUAAAGCCACAGCUCUCGCUUUGUGCCCAAAAUAACUCUGCCAUUUCUAGGUUAAGAGUAUAAAGGCAUCACGUGCUCCAAAUCCCGAUUCAAACAUUGGAAUGGCUGGUCUCAUACCUUCCCACUUUCCUAGCUUG